AUGAGUCUCUUCCUGUUGGGUCUGCAACCAACACUGAGUGGCAGGGUGUGAGAGCUCCCGGUCCCAGCCUCCAGAUGCCCUUCGGAAUGAGCCUCCCCUUGUUCAUUUUCACAGAUAAGAGAAUCGAAGCUACGACAAGCAGAUGAAGGGGUGGGUGGAAAAUGUGACCUGGGUAAGGCGGGACGUGAGUGGAGUGUGUAAGACUGAAGGCGAGAGGAACCGCAGCACUCCACAAAGCUCGUCCCCGUGGGAGGGACUCGGCCAACGAUUGUGCCGCUGCCGUGUGUGUGCUGGGACGGAAUGGCCGGGUAAAGAUUGGCGGGCAGUGGGAGCCGGGUUCUCACUGUUAGAGUUGACACUUCAGGUCAGCAAGGGAAGGAAGCUCCAGGGACCCACGAGCUACUGGAUUGCACUCAGAGACGUCUCGAACUCGCGUUUAACCUUCCGCGGACACAGAUGGCUCCACAGAGAAACGUGUAUGGACGCGUGUGCAGUUGGGUCACCAUAUGCACUUAUGUCUCCUUGCCGUGGCCAUUAAGGGGGCCGGAGGGACUCGGGCAACGAGAACACCAAGCACCCAGAUACCCCACUCUGAAGGAGGGAGCAGAACUCCUUGCUCCUGAAGUGUGCGCUGUGCGUGGAGAUUCCUUCCAGGCAGGACAGUCAGAAAAGGGGGAAAAGGAGAAACUUCGCAGUGGAGAAACUGACAAAAGGCUACUGGCAGUCUAUUCAUAGGGAAAAGCAUCAGACAAAUUCCCCUGGAGAAGCAGACUGCAAUACACCUGACCGGUACUCCUCAAAAUCCCAGACAAGGAAAGUCGGAAAUCGUCACCGCCAAGACUACUGAGCCUAGAGACAUGAUAACUGCACACAGUGAGGUACCCUGGAAGAGGUCCUGGAACAGAAAAAGGAGAUGGGGCAAAGAAGAAAACCCGAAGAGAGUGUAUAAACUUUAGUUGACAACAAUGUAUCAAAAAUUAAAAAAUAAA